rnacentral:rRNA from 1 species
GACGAGGGGUCCUAGCGUUGUUCGGAAUCACUGGGCGUAAAGCGUAUGUAGGCGGGCUUCUAAGUCAGGUGUGAAAUCCCAUGGCUCAACCAUGGAAUUGCAUUUGAAACUGGAAGUCUUGAGUGUGGGAGAGAUUGGUAGAAUACCUGGUGUAGUGGUGAAAUACGUAGAUAUCAGGUGGAAUACCGGUGGCGAAGGCGGCCAAUUGGCCCAACACUGACGCUGAGAUACGAAAGCGUGGGGAUCAAACAGG